rnacentral:rRNA from 1 species
CAAUAGCGUAUAUUAAAGUUGUUGCGGUUAAAAAGCUCGUAGUUGGAUCUCGGCGGGUAGGGGGCGGUUCGUUAUCUGACGCUACUGCCCCAUUUACCCGUGUUUUUGACGGAGGUUUCAGGGUGCUCUUAACCGAGUGUCCUGGGAUGCCGUCAGGUUUACUUUGAAAAAAUUAGAGUGCUCAAAGCAGGCUUUCUACGCUUGAAUAUUCGUGCAUGGAAUAAUGGAAUAGGACGUCGCUUCUAUUUUGUUGGUUUUCGGAAAUCGACGUAAUGAUUAAUAGGGACAGUCGGGGGCAUUAGUAUUCAGACGACAGAGGUGAAAUUCUUGGACCGUCUGAAGACUCACUACUGCGAAAGCAUUUGCCAAGAAUGUUUUCAUUAAUCAAGAACGAAAGUUAGAGGUU